CUCAAGAAUGCCUAAUGAGAUGCGAAAAAUCUGUACCGAUUGAUGUGACAGAAUAAUAUCUUUCAAAACCUUUCAUUCAUAAGGAACCAUUCAUUAUUUACUAAAGGACUUGCAAAUCUGAUGAAGAAACUGAAGAAUAGACCCCCUCAUUAGGCUAACUUGGUCUCUCCUCAGAGCAUUGACAGUGCUUGAUCAGUUGAACCCUUGCAAUCAGUGCUAGUGGGCCUGCAGACUUCCCACCCAAGCAAUGCAUCGGCUGCUAUGGAGCUCGAAGAAAGUCUUCAGGGUCUUCACAAAAGAUAACUGCUAUUGCUGUGCAAUAUCGUAAAAUGUGAUGUAAAGAUAGCAGAUCUGUUCAAUCAAUCAAAAUCAAUCAAUCA